AACGCACAUUGCGCCCGCCAGUAUUCUGGCGGGCAUGCCUGUCCGAGCGUCAUUUCAACCCUCGAGCCCCCCCCGGGGGGCUUGGCGUUGGGGAUCGGCCCGCCCGCGGCGGCGCGCCGGCCCCGAAAUACAGUGGCGGUCUCGCUGCAGCCUCCUCUGCGUAGUAGCACACCUCGCACCGGAACGCAGCGCGGCCACGCCGUUAAACCCCCCACCCGUGAACGUUGACCUCGGAUCAGGUAGGAAUACCCGCUGAACUUAA
rnacentral:misc_RNA from 1 species